GACGAACCGAGCGAACGUUGUUCGGAAUCACUGGGCUUAAAGGGCGCGUAGGCGGGUGCUCAAGUCCGGGGUGAAAUCCCACAGCUCAACUGUGGAACUGCCUCGGAUACUGGGCGUCUCGAGGGUGGCAGGGGUAUGCGGAACUAUCGGUGGAGCGGUGAAAUGCGUUGAUAUCGAUAGGAACUCCGGUGGCGAAGGCGGCACGCUGGGCCCGCCC
rnacentral:rRNA from 1 species